CCUACGGGAGGCAGCAGUGAGGAAUAUUGGUCAAUGGCCGUAAGGCUGAACCAGCCAAGUCGCGUGAAGGAAGAAGGAUCUAUGGUUUGUAAACUUCUUUUAUAGGGGAAUAAAGGUAUCCACGUGUGGAUAUUUGCAUGUACCCUAUGAAUAAGCAUCGGCUAACUCCGUGCCAGCAGCCGCGGUAAUACGGAGGAUGCGAGCGUUAUCCGGAUUUAUUGGGUUUAAAGGGUGCGUAGGUUGUUUUUUAAGUCAGCGGUGAAAGUUUGUGGCUCAACCCUAGAAUUGCCGUUGAAACUGGAAGUCUUGAGUGUGUGUGAGGUAGGCGGAAUGCGUGGUGUAGCGGUGAAAUGCAUAGAUAUCACGCAGAACUCCGAUUGCGAAGGCAGCUUACUAAGCCAUAACUGACACUGAAGCACGAAAGCGUGGGGAUCAAACAGGAUUAGAUACCCUUGUAGUC
rnacentral:rRNA from 1 species